AGCGCAGGCGGUUAGAUAGGUCUGAAGUUAAAGGCUGUGGCUUAACCAUAGUACGCUUUGGAAACUGUUUAACUUGAGUGCAGAAGGGGAGAGUGGAAUUCCAUGUGUAGCGGUGAAAUGCGUAGAUAUAUGGAGGAACACCGGUGGCGAAAGCGGCUCUCUGGUCUGUAACUGACGCUGAGGCUCGAAAGCGUGGGGAGCAAACA
rnacentral:rRNA from 1 species